rnacentral:rRNA from 1 species
UACGUAGGGUGCAAGCGUUGUCCGGAAUUAUUGGGCGUAAAGAGCUCGUAGGCGGUUUGUCGCGUCGAAUGUGAAAACCCGGGGCUCAACCCCGGGCCUGCAUUCGAUACGGGCAGACUAGAGUUCGGUAGGGGAGUCUGGAAUUCCUGGUGUAGCGGUGAAAUGCGCAGAUAUCAGGAGGAACACCGGUGGCGAAGGCGGGACUCUGGGCCGAUACUGACGCUGAGGAGCGAAAGCGUGGGGAGCAAACAGGA